AACUCUUUGCCUGCAAUUUAUCUCUCUUAUGUUGUUCAACCACUUGAUAGUUUGGCUUCUAUUGCCGCUAGGUAUUUCACUACUCUCACUGAUUUGAUGAAUGUUAAUGCUAUGGGAACUACUGCUAUUUCUGAUGGUGAUAUCAUUGCUAUUCCUAUUCCGGCUUGCUCUUCAAAUUUUCCGAAAUAUGCUUCUGAUUUUGGCUUGCUUGUACCUAAUGGAAGUUAUGCAAUUACAGCAGGACAUUGUGUGCUAGCUGUGGACCCCGAAACUUAAAUUUGUACUGUAUGCCGGCUUCUCUAGCUGUUUCAUGCUCAAGCAUGCAUUGUAAAAACAGCAAUCUUAUGCUUGGGAAUGUUACCGUGCAACAGACUGGUGGUGGUUGCAAUGUGACUUCUUGAAGUUAUGAUGGUAUUGUUAAUGGCACCAUAGCAACAACGUUGAACCCAUCUCUUCAGCCUCGAUGUCCAGGUUAGUGUGCUGCAGCCAUAUAUAUAUAUAUAUAUAUAUA